UGUAUGAGUUACUAUGAGGACACAGCCUCAGUAUAUGUACCCACUAUAUGCUCUAUGUAUGAGUUACUAUGAGGACACAGCCUCAGUAUAUGUACCCACUAUAUGCUCUAUGUAUGAGUUACUGUGAGGACACAGCCUCAGUAUAUGUACCCACUAUAUGCUCUAUGUGUGAGUUACUGUGAGGACACAGCCUCAGUAUAUGUACCCACUAUAUGCUCUAUGUAUGAGUUAC